rnacentral:rRNA from 1 species
GGCUCGAGGACGAACGCUGGCGGCGUGCCUAACACAUGCAAGUCGAGCGAGGAGAUCCUCGGGAUGAUCCUAGCGGCGGACGGGUGAGUAACACGUGGGCAACCUGCCUCAUAGAGAGGAAUAGCCUUCCGAAAGGGAGAUUAAUACCUCAUAACAUUGCAGUUUCGCAUGGAACAGCAAUUAAAGGAGUAAUCCGCUAUGAGAUGGGCCCGCGGCGCAUUAGCUAGUUGGUGAGGUAACGGCUCACCAAGGCGACGAUGCGUAGCCGACCUGAGAGGGUGAUCGGCCACAUUGGGACUGAGACACGGCCCAGACUCCUACGGGAGGCAGCAGGUGGGGAAUAUUGCACAAUGGGGAAACCCUGAUGCAGCCAACGCCGCGUGAGUGAUGACGGCCUUCGGGUUGUAAAGCUCUGUCUUCAGGGACGAUAAUGACGGUACCUGAGGAGGAAGCCACGGCUAACUACGUGCCAGCAGCAGC